rnacentral:rRNA from 1 species
GACGAACGCUGGCGGCGUGCUUAACACAUGCAAGUCGAACGGAGUGGCGAACGGGUGAGUAACACGUGGGUGAUCUGCCUUGCACUACGGGAUAAGCUUGGGAAACUGGGUCUAAUACCGGAUAGUGCAAGAUGAGCUCGCGGCCUAUCAGCAUGUUGGUGGGGUAAUGGCCUACCAAGGCGUCGACUGGUAGCCGGCCUGAGAGGGUGUACGGCGACAUUGGGCCUGAGGAACGGGCCAGACUCCAACGGGAGGCAGCAGUAGAAAGAAUUGCACAAUGGUCGGAAGCCUGAUGCAGCGACGCCUCGUUGGGGAUGAAUGCCUUCGGGUUAUAAACUCCUUUCGAAAGAAACGCGGUGCCUGUAUAAGAAGCACCGGCUAACUACGUGCGAGCAGCCGCGGUAAUAC